ACGCUCGACACCUACGGAAGGCAGCAGUCGGGAAUAUUGCGCAAUGGAGGAAACUCUGACGCAGUGACGCCGCGUAUAGGAAGAAGGUUUUCGGAUUGUAAACUAUUGUCGUUAGGGAAGAGAAAGGACAGUACCUAAGGAGGAAGCUCCGGCUAACUACGUGCCCGCAGCGCGGUAAUCUGAGCGGGCUGGCAAGGC
rnacentral:rRNA from 1 species